AACUCAAAUCAACACAUAUAUUUGAAAUUUGUUACCGUACAUCCCAUUUCCAUCUCCCUUCUUUCGGCCGAUUGCACUAUCACCGUUCGCGGUCUCCUCUUCUAUCCGCUUUGUUUCCUUUCUCUCUCAUUCUGGAACCUUCCAUCCUCUCCUCUUUCUCUUUCCCGCUCCCCUUCUUCCUCCGUUCUUUUUUUUUUCCUUUUUUUUUCUUCUUUUUCUUUCUUCUUU
rnacentral:lncRNA from 1 species